rnacentral:rRNA from 1 species
UACAGCGGUCUCAAGCGUUGUUCGGAUUCAUUGGGCGUAAAGGGUGCGUAGGCGGCGCGGUAAGUCGGGUGUGAAAUCUUGGAGCUUAACUCCGAAACUGCAUUCGAUACUGCCGUGCUUGAGGACUGGAGAGGAGACUGGAAUUUACGGUGUAGCGGUGAAAUGCGUAGAUAUCGUAAGGAAGACCAGUGGCGAAGGCGGGUCUCUGGACAGUUCCUGACGCUGAGGCACGAAGGUCAGGGGAGCAAACGGG